rnacentral:rRNA from 1 species
GACGAACGCUGGCGGCGUGCCUAAUACAUGCAAGUCGAACGCUUUUUCUUUCACCGGAGCUUGCUCCACCGAAAGAAAAAGAGUGGCGAACGGGUGAGUAACACGUGGGUAACCUGCCCAUCAGAAGGGGAUAACACUUGGAAACAGGUGCUAAUACCGUAUAACACUAUUUUCCGCAUGGAAGAAAGUUGAAAGGCGCUUUUGCGUCACUGAUGGAUGGACCCGCGGUGCAUUAGCUAGUUGGUGAGGUAACGGCUCACCAAGGCAACGAUGCAUAGCCCGCCUGAGAGGGUGAUCGGCCACACUGGGACUGGGACACGGCCCAGACUCCUACGGGAGGCAGCAGUAGGGAAUCUUCGGCAAUGGACGAAAGUCUGACCGAGCAACGCCGCGUGAGUGAAGAAGGUUUUCGGAUCGUAAAACUCUGUUGUUAGAGAAGAACAAGGAUGAGAGUAAAAUGUUCAUCCCUUGACGGUAUCUAACCAGAAAGCCACGGCUAACUACGUGCCAGCCGCCGCCGUAA